rnacentral:rRNA from 1 species
UACAGAGGUCUCAAGCGUUGUUCGGCUUCAUUGGGCGUAAAGGGUGUGUCGGUGGCGCGCUAAGUCGGGUGUGAAAUUUCGGAGCUUAACUCCGAAACUGCAUUCGAUACUGCGGUGCUUGAGGACUGGAGAGGAGACUGGAAUUCCUGGUGUAGCGGUGAAAUGCGCAGAUAUCAGGAGGAACACCGAUGGCGAAGGCAGGUCUCUGGGCCAUAACUGACGCUGAGAAGCGAAAGCAUGGGGAGCGAAAAGG